rnacentral:misc_RNA from 1 species
UAGGAGCCCCCAAAACACACACACACACACACACACACACGCCCUCGUCCGCUGAUCGCUCACGCUGUCUCUCUCUCUCUCUCUCUGUCUCUGUCGUGAGGAAGCGCCUCCUUUUUUUUUUGCUUCGCUUCCUUCGUCUCCCCCUUCGCCCAAUCGAAAACGCAAUCAGCUAACAGCAGCAGCAGCCAUGUUCACGCGUCGCUCCGUAUCUGCGGCGGUUGGCGCCGCCAUGGCGACGUCUUCUUCGCUGUCAAUGCAGCGCCGCUACGACCACGACCGCUGGUACGGCCACGCUCUGGAGCUGGACACGCACAACUAUAAGUUCAACGGCGAGCCGCCAAGCUGGAUGAAGACGCACGCGAAGACAGAGGAGGAGACAAGCUUCGCCAAGAGUGUGCUGCCUCACAUCGACUUCGCCUCCAGCUACGAGUGCCUACUCUUCGACGCGGAUCGCCUAAACACCAAUCUCAACCGCAAGGAGUUCGGCAAUGAGAUCAAGUACCGCCUCGAGAAGCAGGCCAACACCGUCGCCAGGGCGCAGCAGCUGCUCAGGGACAAGAAGGCCGGCACCGGCCCUGACGCCGAGAAGGUUGAGAACACGCUCAUUGCCCGCAUCUUCGAUGAGGAGCAUGUGCAGGCGGAGAUGAAGUACGUCAAGUGCAUCCGCGCGAACGAGUUGGCUGAGGACAACCGCCUCGAUAUCCUGCCCGGCGGCUCGCCGAACUCGCUGCGUGAGAAGACGCGCUGGAACCUUAACACGGAGCUACACCCAGCCGACCGUGCAGAGAUUGGUGCUCGCCUGACGGCGUGGCUGCCAGAGAAGUACCACAUUGUGUACUUCGAUGACUUCCAGACCGUAGCCGCCAAUGACGCAACCGCCCGCAAGGAGAUGCUCGAGAUCGUGGAGAGCGUGCAAAAAGAGUACACCGCGGAAGCGAAGGAGUGCGGCUACGAGAACGACCUCAAGGAGACCGUGGCGGAGCUCAUGGACGACGUCGAUCCGACCCGCACCAUCACGAUGGAGGCCAUCAAGUCCUGCAAAGACCUACAGCAGCUGGAGGACUGGUCGCGCCAGGUGCACGAGUACAACGGCGACGACCGCAUCAUCGAGAUCUACGCCCGCGCUGCUGAGAUCACGAAAAACGCGGAGCACCAGGCGCUGGUGAGGCAGAUGCGCGAGUGGCGCAAGCUGGCCACCAAGAACGAGAGCAGAUUGUAAGAGGGAAAUGCUCCCGCAGACAGGAUGCGACUCUCUCUGCGCAAAGAGCCGUUGCAGGCCGCAUGUACGGCCAGUUCUUUGUGUCCCCCCUCUCUCUCGUCGCGACGGUGAUGUGGACGACGUCGCUGCGCAGUUUGCCCCGUGCCUCUGUUCUUCGGUCUUGAGUGCACGAGAGCCCUGCAAGUGUCCAAGGGGCGGCAUGUGCAUCUGAAGCUCUCCCUCUCGCUCGUGUAUUUGUGUUGAGUAGCGCUACGCGCCUCUGCGUACGUGUCUCAGCGGCAUAUACGCGCGUGUGUGUGUGUGGAUCGAAUAGGCGUGCGCGUGUGUGCGCCGGCGCGUGAGAGAGACAGGAUGGGGCGAGGGAAGCGAAGGGGGGCCGCAUAUAGGGUCCAUCCUCAAAACCAGUCCACGCACACGCGCAGGCGUCGCAGAGAAAGGCGGCGCCAACAAAAAAAAUUAAAACACUGAAGUAGUUAGUAGUACGAUGGAGAGGGCGAUAGAGGCGGCGAAGUUGUGCUCGUGUGUGCGGUAGAGCGAGAGAAAGUGAGGAGAGGGGUUGGGUAUAUACUCAACGGGUACGCACGGCGCACACGUGCGCAUUCGUACAAAAAGAGGGUCCACUCUAACGAUGUCUGUGAGCCCCUGUAUGUGCAUAUGCAUACGUCUAGAUACAUAUAUAUGUGUAUGUGUAUGUGUAUGUAUGUGCGUGUGUGUGUGUACUAGCGUGCCUGCGUGCGUGUCACGCCUUCUCUUCCAAACUCUCUCCAGCUCUCUCUCUCCUGUACUGAUCUAGUAGUGUGGUGAAGGAAGCCGAACAGGGAACAAAAAGUUUUUUUUUUACGAGAAGAGCCAUUAACGAGAGAGAGAGAGGGAGGGAGGGAGGGGGCGGAGGGAGGUAGUAUGCGCUGUCUGCAAAGUCGGGGCGCUCCCUCCCUUUGCGUCCGUACCUGGGCGCUCUUCUCAUGCUUCUGACUCUUUUUUUUUUUCGUUUGAGAAGAUGCCCUCGCGUGCGUUUGCGUCCGGGAGCAUAGCGCCGUUCCGUCAUCUCGCGAUAUUGCAUCUUGCCUCGACCUUGUUCCUCCUCUUCUCUGCGUUGUACUGUCGGCUGGCGCUAUCGUGCGUUCCGCGGCUGUGUGGGCUCGCUUUUUUUGUCUUUCCGUCUUCGUUUUCCUUUUGCUCCCCCCCCCCAGUCGUCACCGUGCGACGACGACGAUGAUCAUUGUCUUCACAAUCAUCAUCUCAUCAGCGUCGUCGUCGUUGUGGUUUUUGUCUCUCCUCUUCGUGGCUCCGUUGUCAGUGCGUGCGCAUGCAUGCAGCGAAGAGCGGAGGGGAGAGGGGAGAGCGGGGGGAGGGCGGCGGCGGCGGCACAGGAGAGCGAUGCGUCUCUUCGACAUUAAGCAGUGUUCCUCCCUCCGAUCCUCCUCCUUGCUUCCUUCCUUCCCGGUUCUCUUCCUGUUCCGUGUUUGUUUGCUCGGUGCUCUUUCUCGCAUGGCAUUUCGAGCGUAACAAU